AGAGCCAUAUAAAACUAAGGAGAAACCAUUUUAGGAUGAGGGAACAAACCCUGAAGGUGUGAACAAGCUCGGUGCAUCUAGACAUGUAAGGAAGGUUCCAGCAUGUGAAGGAGCGAGGACGGAGAAGGGUCCGGUGAGGUCUUACAGCAACAGAGGGUCCAGCCACAUGAGGCUGAGCAGCCAAGUGAUCUGCCUAGGCCAGCUCCCCUUCAUCUUCUGCCAUGAGUGGAAGCAGCCUGAGGCCCUCACCAGAAGCAGAUGUUGGCACUAUGCUUCUUAGACAGCCUGCAAAACUGUGAGCCAAAGAAUUCCCUUUUCUUUAUAAAUGACCCAGCCUCAGCUGGGAAAGCGGAAAUCUGGAGAACUAAAAUAUCUUGCUGAAGAUCACAAUGCAGUAAAGCAUAGGGCAAGUUUCCAACUCGAACAUCACCCCAGAACACUUCCUUUUAAACAUAAAUUAUGUUGCUAACUUUUUUAUUGUUACUUAGCAGGCAGAUUUCAAACUGAUACAAAUGUUGAAAAUGAUACAAAAUGUUUUCCCACCUUAAAGGCAUUCUGAAACCUAGCACAUAACAUCUGUCACUGAAGUCCAUAGUUUCCAAUGCCAUGAUUGGAUAAAGACCCUAUUGAGACUCAUGUGUUUGUCUCUCACUGCUUAAAACACUCAUGUGUUUUAAGCAACAUGACAAGCACAAAAGAGAACAAGUACUGCUCCUGCUCUCCAGGAAGUUACCAUAAAAUAAAGGGGAUAAGGUGCCUUCCAAAGAAAAAACAAAUACUAGGAGAGGUCAGAGGAGAAGAGAGAUUAUUCCAGAAGGAGAGACUGAGGCAGAUUUCAGGAGGGAAGAAUAUAAGAGUCCCAAAAGAAGAAACAGGAACCCAGGUUAGAGAGCAAUGGGCAAGGGGUAGGAGGUGAGACUAAACUCACAAGGAAGUUGCUUCAAAACAAUAGUGCCCCAAAUGCCAAGCUGAUGGGUUGGACCCAUUUAGGAAAAACCCACAAAGUCCACAGGAGAGCAGACUGCACUUCCAUGAGCUUCAAGCUGUAAACAGUAACCUCAAAUAAAACUUUUCCCGGAUCGGUAAUUUCCAUCCUGAACAAUGGCCAAGUCAAGGAAGCUGAGGAUCGAGCCCCCUACCGCAUGCCACAAAGAACCUCAAGGGACCCCAUGCUCUGGGGAGCUCGCAGGAGGACCAGCACAGAGGUGUGACUGCGUUGGGGCAGGGUGGCCACAUGUACAAUGUUGUACCUUCCAAUGUUCCUCCUUAGGCUGUGCUUAUGAAGUCCCAACAUGUCUUCUGGGCUGUGUUUUCAACCAAGAGAGUUAAUAAAAAGUGGGAUGGGCACCAACUAUGCCUCCAGAGACAUCAGGCAGAAUAUGCCACAGCGUGCCAUGUCCUCCUGCAAACAGUCAGAAAGAAAAGAUCUCUAAAAGCAGAUUGGAAGAGACUAUAUAUACAGAGCGAGUGCCGGUACAGAAGUUUUGCUGCAAAUACACCCUCUAAUCCCUUGCAACCCACUGCAAGCUCGAGAGACCAGUGCCCUUGGUAAAACAUAGGAGAGAUCAUUAAUUAAAGCCUAGGCCCUUUCUUUGAUCCUGAGGGAUAAGGCUUGGGAAAAUGCACAGUGAUAAAAGUGAACAUUUUAAAAGAGCAGAGUGAGUGUGAAUUCCCAAAGAGACCAUUCAUAUCAAGACCCAAGCCAUGAGAAAAUGCUACAAUGCCCUUGAUCAAUACUUUAUAGGCAUUUUGACCUCAGAUCUAAUCCCAUGAGGCUUAGACCAAGACCUUGCUUGAUGCAGACCUCUCUGACUGCUGAAAUUGGUCAGGAGCUCAGUGAUGAAAAUUUGGAAAGUCAAUGCUGAUACCUGAAGAAAGUCCCAUCAGAGAUCUGUGACCUGAAUCUUCAUAACUUUCACAGGCCCUUUCUAAAUGCCAAGGAGGAUGUGUGUGGAGAAGAAUAUGCCACCUAUGGCAUCCCAAUAUGCCUGUGCCCGCCUGCUCUUCAACAAGGGAAUGAAACCUGGGUAUUCUCAUAGGUUUUUUAAAGCACUUGUCCACAUAUUUUAUUCCGCAAAUAACACAAUUUAAAAUUCAGCUAGAAUUUGCCAUUUUCUGUCAGGGUUGUGCAUUUCUUCCAGUCACCAUGACUUCCUGAGAUAGCCAAAACACAAAAUUUAAAUUGUGUUUAAAUUAAAUAAACACAAUUUAUGCUGAA
rnacentral:lncRNA from 1 species